rnacentral:rRNA from 1 species
AUGACUACGAGGAGAUGGUGGACGCGGCGCGACGGCAGCGACGACGCCGACGAUCUCGUCCCCAUGGACACCCAAGAGCAGGAGGAGCUGGUCCGUUCCCUGGAGCAGAAGCAGGUGCACCAAAGCCGCCGUUGGAGGCACGUCUUUGCGGGAUUCCUCCUGAGCUACACGGUCUUCCUCGUCUACUCCAGCUUCCACCAUGCCUGGUCUCCCUGGGAGCUGCGAUACCAUGCUUACUUUAUGGAAGAUUUGCCUUCGCCGAUGGUCAUCGUUGCAGCUGCCCUUGCAUGCUUAUUCGCAGUUAAGGGGCUACUACAAGCAUCCAACUCCUCCAAGAAGUGGAUGUGGUAUUCAUUCUAUGUUGGCAUGGCGGUUGCCAUCUUCUGGACAUACUACCUCUUGAAGUUACCAAGGAUCCGAUGGGAUGUAGUGUGGCUCCCGCUUGGCCCUUUGAUUGCUUCUGCAUUGAGCAUCUAUGUGGACCAUACGCUAAUGAAGUCGAUGCAAGAUAUCAGCACCUUGAGGGGCUACAUGUACAACUUCAAGUCCCUGUGA